rnacentral:rRNA from 1 species
AGACCCGAAACCCGGUGAUCUAGCCAUGGGCAGGUUGAAGGUUGGGUAACACUAACUGGAGGACCGAACCGACUAAUGUUGAAAAAUUAGCGGAUGACCUGUGGCUGGGGGUGAAAGGCCAAUCAAACCGGGAGAUAGCUGGUUCUCCCCGAAAGCUAUUUAGGUAGCGCCUCGUGAAUUCAUCUCCGGGGGUAGAGCACUGUUUCGGCUAGGGGGCCAUCCCGGCUUACCAACCCGAUGCAAACUGCGAAUACCGGAGAAUGUUAUCACGGGAGACACACGGCGGGUGCUAACGUCCGUCGUGAAGAGGGAAACAACCCAGACCGCCAGCUAAGGUCCCAAAGUCAUGGUUAAGUGGGAAACGAUGUGGGAAGGCCCAGACAGCCAGGAUGUUGGCUUAGAAGCAGCCAUCAUUUAAAGAAAGCGUAAUAGCUCACUGGUCGAGUCGGCCUGCGCGGAAGAUGUAACGGGGCUAAACCAUGCACCGAAGCUGCGGCAGCGACGCUGAUGCGUUGUUGGGUAGGGGAGCGUUCUGUAAGCCUGUGAAGGUGUGUCGUGAGGCAUGCUGGAGGUAUCAGAAGUGCGAAUGCUGACAUAAGUAACGAUAAAGCGGGUGAAAAGCCCGCUCGCCGGAAGACCAAGGGUUCCUGUCCAACGUUAAUCGGGGCAGGGUGAGUCGACCCCUAAGGCGAGGCCGAAAGGCGUAGUCGAUGGGAAACGGGUUAAUAUUCCCGUACUUGGUGUUACUGCGAAGGGGGGACGGAGAAGGCUAUGUUGGCCGGGCGACGGUUGUCCCGGUUUAAGCGUGUAGGUGUGUGUUCCAGGUAAAUCCGGUUCACUUUAACACUGAGGCGUGACGACGAGGCACUACGGUGCUGAAGCAACAAAUGCCCUGCUUCCAGGAAAAGCCUCUAAGCAUCAGGUAACAUCAAAUCGUACCCCAAACCGACACAGGUGGUCAGGUAGAGAAUACCAAGGCGCUUGAGAGAACUCGGGUGAAGGAACUAGGCAAAAUGGUGCCGUAACUUCGGGAGAAGGCACGCUGACAUGUAG